rnacentral:ncRNA from 1 species
GAGAGUAGGCCUCUCGGAGUCGGCGUACAGACGCAGGUUCCAAACCACCUUAAGCUGCUUUGGUAAAGAGCCAUGGUAGUGAGCGUUAAGGAAAAGGCACCUUAGAGGUGUCAGGU